GAUGAACGCUGGCGGCGUGCCUAAUACAUGCAAGUCGAGCGAACAGGCGAGGAGCUUGCUCCUCUGACGUUAGCGGCGGACGGGUGAGUAACACGUGGAUAACCUACCUAUAAGACUGGGAUAACUUCGGGAAACCGGAGCUAAUACCGGAUAAUAUAUUGAACCGCAUGGUUCAAUAGUGAAAGACGGUUUUGCUGUCACUUAUAGAUGGAUCCGCGCCGCAUUAGCUAGUUGGUAAGGUAACGGCUUACCAAGGCAACGAUGCGUAGCCGACCUGAGAGGGUGAUCGGCCACACUGGAACUGAGACACGGUCCAGACUCCUACGGGAGGCAGCAGUAGGGAAUCUUCCGCAAUGGGCGAAAGCUUGACGGAGCAACGCCGCGUGAGUGAUGAAGGUCUUCGGAUCGUAAAACUCUGUUAUUAGGGAAGAACAAAUGUGUAAGUAACUAUGCACGUCUUGACGGUACCUAAUCAGAAAGCCACGGCUAACUACGUG
rnacentral:rRNA from 1 species